rnacentral:rRNA from 1 species
UGGGGAAUAUUGCACAAUGGGCGCAAGCCUGAUGCAGCCAUGCCGCGUGUGUGAAGAAGGCCUUCGGGUUGUAAAGCACUUUCAGCGGGGAGGAAGGCGUUAAGGUUAAUAACCUUGGCGAUUGACGUUACCCGCAGAAGAAGCACCGGCUAACUCCGUGCCAGCAGCCGCGGUAAUACGGAGGGUGCAAGCGUUAAUCGGAAUUACUGGGCGUAAAGCGCACGCAGGCGGUCUGUCAAGUCGGAUGUGAAAUCCCCGGGCUUAACCCGGGAAUUGCAUCUGAUACUGGUCAGCUAGAGUCUUGUAGAGGGGGGGAGAAUUCCAUGUGUAGCGGUGAAAUGCGUAGAGAUGUGGAGGAAUACCGGUGGCGAAGGCGGCCCCCUGGACAAAGACUGACGCUCAGGUGCGAAAGCGUGGGGAGCAAACAGG